AUUGAACGCUGGCGGCAUGCUUUACACAUGCAAGUCGAACGGUAACAGGCCACAAGGUGCUGACGAGUGGCGAACGGGUGAGUAAUGCAUCGGAACGUGCCCAGUCGUGGGGGAUAACGCAGCGAAAGCUGUGCUAAUACCGCAUACGAUCUGUGGAUGAAAGCGAGGGACCUUCGGGCCUCGCGCGAUUGGAGCGGCCGAUGUCAGAUUAGGUAGUUGGUGGGGUAAAGGCUCACCAAGCCGACGAUCUGUAGCUGGUCUGAGAGGACGACCAGCCACACUGGGACUGAGACACGGCCCAGACUCCUACGGGAGGCAGCAGUGGGGAAUUUUGGACAAUGGGCGCAAGCCUGAUCCAGCAAUGCCGCGUGCAGGAAGAAGGCCUUCGGGUUGUAAACUGCUUUUGUACGGAGCGAAAAGGCUCCCUCUAAUACAGGGGGCUCAUGACGGUACCGUAAGAAUAAGCACCGGCUAACUACGUGCCAGCCGCCGCGGUAAAAC
rnacentral:rRNA from 1 species